AGUGAACGCUGGCGGUAGGCCUAACACAUGCAAGUCGAACGGCAGCACAGUAAGAGCUUGCUCUUACGGGUGGCGAGUGGCGGACGGGUGAGGAAUACAUCGGAAUCUACUUUUUCGUGGGGGAUAACGUAGGGAAACUUACGCUAAUACCGCAUACGCCCUACGGGUGAAAGCAGGGGAUCUUCGGACCUUGCGCGAUUGAAUGAGCCGAUGUCGGAUUAGCUAGUUGGUGGGGUAAAGGCCCACCAAGGCGACGAUCCGUAGCUGGUCUGAGAGGAUGAUCAGCCACACUGGAACUGAGACACGGUCCAGACUCCUACGGGACGCAGCAGUGGGGAAUAUUGGACAAUAGGCGCAAGCCUGAUCCAGCCAUACCGCGUGGGUGAAGAAGGCCUUCGGGUUGUAAAGCCCUUUUGUUGGGAAAGAAAAGCAGCAGGUUAAUACCCCGCUGUUCUGACGGUACCCAAAGAAUAAGCACCGGCUAACUUCGUG
rnacentral:rRNA from 1 species